CUGGGGCUGGAGUCGGUCCCAAGGGUUGGGCUGUUCGCCCAUUAAAGCGGUACGCGAGCUGGGUUUAGAACGUCGUGAGACAGUUCGGUCCCUAUCCGCUGUGCGCGUAGGAAUAUUGAGAAGGGCUGUCCCUAGUACGAGAGGACCGGGACGGACGAACCUCUGGUGUGCCAGUUGUCCUGCCAAGGGCAUGGCUGGUUGGCUACGUUCGGAAAGGAUAACCGCUGAAAGCAUCUAAGCGGGAAGCCUGCUUCGAGAUGAGUAUUCCCACCAACUUGAUUGGUUAAGGCUCCCAGUAGACGACUGGGUUGAUAGGCCAGAUGUGGAAGCCCGGUAACGGGUGGAGCUGACUGGUACUAAUAGGCCGAGGGCUUGUCCUCAGUUG
rnacentral:rRNA from 1 species